rnacentral:rRNA from 1 species
GAUGAACGCUGGCGGCGUUCCUAAUACAUGCAAGUCGAGCGAACUGACUAGAAGCUUGCUUCUCUGAUGUUAGCGGCGGACGGGUGAGUAACACGUGGAUAACCUACCUAUAAGACUGGGAUAACUUCGGGAAACCGGAGCUAAUACCGGAUUAUCUUUUGAACCGCAUUGUUCAAAAGUGAAAGACGGUCUUGCUGUCACUUAUAGAUGGAUCCGCUCUGCAUUAGCUAGUUGGUAAGGUAACGGCUUACCAAGGCAACGAUGCAUAGCCGACCUGAGAGGGUGAUCGGCCACACAGGAACUGAGACACGGUCCAGACUCCGACGGGAGGCAGCAGUAGGGAAUGUUCGGCGAUGGGCGAAAGCCUGACGGAGCAACGGCGCGUGAGUGAUGAAGGUCAUCGGAACGUAAAACUAUGUUAUGAGGGAAGAACAGAUGUGUAAGUAACAGUGCAAGUCUGGACGGUACAGAAUCAGAAAGACACGGAUAACUACGUG